rfam:Ornithorhynchus anatinus chromosome X1, whole genome shotgun sequence.
CUCCUCUCAGGGUCGCACCUGGAGAGCUUCUAGUACUCAACCAGUCUUGACUAUGGGAGGAAGCGUCAAGCAGAGGCUUACCCAUUCCAUUCCUAGCUUGGACAGUAGCUAGCGAGUAGAAGGCAAUCUGCUACAAGU